rnacentral:rRNA from 1 species
AUACGUAGGGGGCUAGCGUUAUCCGGAUUUACUGGGCGUAAAGGGUGCGUAGGCGGGAUAGAAAGUCAGAUGUGAAAUACCGAGGCUUAACUUCGGGGCUGCAUUUGAAACUUCUGUUCUUGAGUGAUGGAGAGGCAGGCGGAAUUCCGGUGUAGCGGUGAAAUGCGUAGAUAUCGGGAGGAACAUCGGUGGCGAAGGCGGCUUUCUGGACUGUAACUGACACUGAGGCACG